rnacentral:rRNA from 1 species
GCAGGCUUAACACAUGCAAGUCGAGGGGUAGAGUAGCAAUACUUGAGACCGGCGCACGGGUGCGUAACGCGUAUGCAAUCUACCUUUUACAGAGGGAUAGCCCAGAGAAAUUUGGAUUAAUACCUCAUAGCAUUGCAGGAUGGCAUCAUCCAGCAAUUAAAGUCACAACGGUAAAAGAUGAGCAUGCGUCCCAUUAGCUAGUUGGUAAGGUAACGGCUUACCAAGGCUACGAUGGGUAGGGGUCCUGAGAGGGAGAUCCCCCACACUGGUACUGAGACACGGACCAGACUCCUACGGGAGGCAGCAGUGAGGAAUAUUGGACAAUGGGCGCAAGCCUGAUCCAGCCAUGCCGCGUGCAGGAUGACGGUCCUAUGGAUUGUAAACUGCUUUUAUACGAGAAGAAACACUACUUCGUGAAGUAGCUUGACGGUAUCGUAAGAAUAAGGAUCGGCUAACACCGUGCCAGCAGCCGCGGUAAUACGGAGGAUCCAAGCGUUAUCCGGAAUCAUUGGGUUUAAAGGGUCCGUAGGCGGUUUAAUAAGUCAGUGGUGAAAGCCCAUCGCUCGACGGUGGAACGGCCAUUGAUACUGUUAAACUUGAAUUAUUAGGAAGUAACUAGAAUAUGUAGUGUAGCGGUGAAAUGCUUAGAGAUUACAUGGAAUACCAAUUGCGAAGGCAGGUUACUACUAAUGGAUUGACGCUGAUG